rnacentral:lncRNA from 1 species
GCCAAUCGGCAGGUAAGGAUAUGCACUAAAAUUCAAUGUGCAAGCUGCAUGUUUUUCCGAUUAGAUUAAAUAAUAUUAGCCAACACUUAUAACAAGAAGAAGAGUGUUGAUCUAAGAAGUCGUCAACUGUCGAAAUUGUGCAAGAAUCUACAGAUGCUGUUGCUUUUGAGGACUGACAUGAUGGAUAUUCAAGGUGGCCUUGGGGUUGCCCAGCAGCAGAGGAGUCACUUUAUAUACACAUAAAUGCCCUUAUUUACCAACAAGUACAUGCACUUGGAUGCUUUUAUGUAGAGCUGUCUAGACGCGUGUUUUUCUGUAGAUCAAUCCUUAAAGCAACAACAUUCCAAGAUUCUCAUGACAGUUAGAAAUUUCGACGUCAACUAAGAAUUUUGCGUGUGUGUGGUCGUGUGGUGCAGGGUGUUAUGGGUGGAAGGUAAUUUUUAUACCUGAAUCUUCAAGAGAUGGUGACAAUCGUGAAAAAGCUUGAACAUAGAAGAGAAGGAUGAACAACAAAGAAGCUUUUUUGUACUUCAUGAUUCUUGCAUUAGUCCUCUUCUUGUACAGCAGAUUUCAGAUGAACAGUUUUUCAAAAUCUUGCUAGAAAAGCUUCAUUUCUUG